rnacentral:piRNA from 1 species
UCUCUUUUCCUUACAUAGAGUCUCCACAAGC